rnacentral:tRNA from 1 species
GCACCUUUAGCUCACAUGGGAGAGCGUCAGACUGAAGUUAACUUCGGGAUAUAUAUCUGAAGGGUAAGUACUCCACGUCUUUAAAUCUCGGAAUUCGAGGCUAAUUCUCUCGAAGUACAGUGUUCGAUCCACUGAAGGUGCA